rnacentral:misc_RNA from 1 species
GUAGGAGCAAGGCUUGCCCGCGAUGCAGGCGCCUCGGUUCCCCAAGAGACCGCGUCAUCUUCAUCGCGGGCAAGCCUUGCUCCCAC